AUGGCCGUGGAGACCAACGACAGUUUGACCAUAGUGGAGUAUUCUGCCACAGCAGGCAUAGAGUUCAUUGAGCUUCUUGGAUGUGUAGGUUCAUAUCUUUCAUUAAAUUUGGAAUAUAUCCCUUUUUUCUUCUUUCCGGCGUUCAAGAUAUCAAAGUGAGGACGUGCUGGGUCCUCUGAUGCAAAAUUCCAGAUUUCUCUGUGUCUUCCGGUAGCAGCUGUGAUCAAUUGUGCUGACAACACAGGAGCCAAAAACCCGUAUAUCAUCUCCGUGAAAGGGUAUCAAAGGACUGCUGCUGGUGUGGGUGACAUGGUGAUGGUCACAGUCAAGAAAAGCAAACCAGAGCUCAGAAAAAAGGUACAUCCAGCAGUGGUCAUUUGACAAUGAAAGUCAUAUCAUAGAAAAGAUGGCAUGUUUCUUUAUUUCGAAGAUAAUACAGGGGUCAUAGUGAGCAAUAAAGGCAAGAUGAAAGGUUCUGCCAUAACAGGACCAGUAGCAAAGGAGUGUGUAGACUUGUGGCCCCGGAUUGCAUCCAAUGCUUGCAGCAUUGCAUGAUUCUCCAGUAUAUUUGUAAAAAAUAAAAAAAAAACUUUAAACCCAUUAAAAAGUAUUUGUUUGCAAAAAAAAAAAAAAAA